rnacentral:rRNA from 1 species
AACGUAGGAGACGAACGUUAUCCGGAGUUACUGGGCGUAAAGGGCGUGCAGGCGGUCUGAUAAGUUCGGCGUGAAAUAUUCCGGCUUAACCGGGAUAGGUCGUCGGAGACUGUCGGACUAGAGGGUGAUAGAGGCGUGUGGAAUUCCGGGUGUAGUGGUGAAAUGCGUAGAGAUCCGGAGGAACACCAGUGGCGAAGGCGACACGCUGGGUCACACCUGGACGCUGAA